rnacentral:lncRNA from 1 species
AAAAAAAAACACUUUAUAACAUAAAAAUAAAAAUAUUAAUUAAUAAUAGUUGUUAAGAACAUGGGUGGGAUUUCUGUAAGUCGUCCAAUUAAUAAGCAAAUAUGAUAUUCAGAAAUGAUUCAAAAAAAGAAAGAACGCUCCAAACAACACUCAAAGGAGAGUGCGAUGGACGCUGCUCUCCAUUUCCCAAAGCCCCCAGCCAGCCAAGGAGAUAUAUUAAAGAGACAGUAACUUGUGCAAAUCACUGCUACUAAUCAUGACGCGUGUCCAUUCGCCAGCUGUAUCCCAAGAACCCAACCGCUUACCUCGAACCAACGGUGCCCAUAACUCCUCUUCUUCUCCAACCCCCAACCGCCUCUACCAGUCACCCUCCCACUCCCUU